GGAGUUAGCCGGUGCUUCUUCUGUGAGUGAUGUCCUUCCUGCCGGCUAUUAACCCGCAGGCCUUCUUCCUCACUGAAAGUGCUUUACAACCCGAAGGCCUUCUUCACACACGCGGCAUGGCUGGAUCAGGGUUGCCCCCAUUGUCCAAUAUUCCCCACUGCUGCCUCCCGUAGGAGUCUGGGCCGUGUCUCAGUCCCAGUGUGGCUGAUCAUCCUCUCAGACCAGCUACGGAUCGUCGCCUUGGUGAGCCGUUACCUCACCAACCAGCUAAUCCGACAUAGGCUCAUCCGAUAGCGCGAGGCCCGAAGGUCCCCCGCUUUCCCCCGUAGGGCGUAUGCGGUAUUAGCCUGGGUUUCCCCAGGUUAUCCCCCACCUACCCGGGCAGAUUCCUAUGCAUUACUCACCCGUCCGCCGCUCGCCACCAGGGAGCAAGCUCCCCGUGCUGCCGCUCGACUUGCAUGUGUUAGGCCUGCCGCCAGCGUUCAAUCUGAGCCAGAUCAAACUCUGA
rnacentral:rRNA from 1 species